GAGUAACACGUAAGCAACCUACCCUAAAGACGAGGAUAACCAUUGGAAACAGUGGCUAAGACAGGAUAGGAAGAUAAAAGGCAUCUUUUAUCUUUUAAAAGACCUAGUAAUAGGUAUGCUUUAGGAGGGGCUUGCGCCAUAUUAGUUAGUUGGUAGGGUAAUGGCCUACCAAGACGAUGAUGUGUAGCUGGACUGAGAGGUUGAACAGCCACAUUGGGACUGAGACACGGCCCAAACUCCUACGGGAGGCAGCAGUAGGGAAUUUUCGGCAAUGGAGGAAACUCUGACCGAGCAACGCCGCGUGAAUGACGAAGUACUUCGGUAUGUAAAGUUCUUUUAUCAAGGAAGAAAAGCAAAUGGCGAACCAUUUGUUUGCCGGUACUUGAUGAAUAAGCCCCGGCUAAUUAUGUGCCAGCAGCCGCGGUAAGACAUAAGGGGCAAGUGUUAUCCGGAAUUAUUGGGCGUAAAGGGUGCGUAGGCGGUCUAGUAAGUCAGUGGUGUAAUGGCAACGCUUAACGUUGUCCGGCUAUUGAAACUGCUAAACUUGAGUUAGAUAGAGGCGAGUGGAAUUCCAUGUGUAGCGGUAAAAUGCGUAAAUAUAUGGAGGAACACCAGAGGCGUAGGCGGCUCGCUGGGUCUUAACUGACGCUGAGGCACGAAAGCGUGGGGAGCAAACAGGAUUAGAUACCCUGGUAGUCCACGCCGUAAACGAUGAGUACUAAGUGUCGGGUUAAACCGGUACUGAAGUUAACACAUUAAGUACUCCGCCUGAGUAGUACGUACGCAAGUAUGAAACUUAAAGGAAUUGACGGGACUCCGCACAAGCGGUGGAUCAUGUUGUUUAAUUCGAAGAUACCCGAAAAACCUUACCAGGUCUUGACAUGUUUUUGCAAAAUGAUAGUAAUAUCGUGGAGGUUACCAGAAACACAGGUGGUGCAUGGUUGUCGUCAGCUCGUGUCGUGAGAUGUUAGGUUAAGUCCUAAAACGAGCGAAACCCUUAUCGUUAGUUGCCAGCACGUUAUGGUGGGGACUUUAACGAGACUGCCAAUGAUAAAUUGGAGGAAGGUGAGGAUCACGUCAAAUCAGCAUGCCCCUUAUGACCUGGGCUACAAACGUGAUACAAUGGCUGUUACAAAGGGUAGCUGAAACGCAAGUUCUUGGCCAAUCCCCAAAAACAGUCCCAGUCCGGAUUGAAGUCUGCAACUCGACUUCAUGAAGUUGGAAUCGCUAGUAAUCGCGAAUCAGCAUGUCGCGGUGAAUACGUUCUCGGGGUUUGUACACACCGCCCGUCAAACCACGAAAGUUGGCAAUACCCCAAAACGGUAGCCUAACUCGUUUAUUCGAGAGGGCGCCGUCUAAGGUAGGGUCGAUGAUUGGGGUUAAGUCGUAACAAGGUAUCCCUACCGGAAGGUGGGGAUGGAUCACCUCCUUUCU
rnacentral:rRNA from 1 species